AGAGCUGAGGACUCUCUGUCGCGCCCACAUUUCUGGUGUUUAUCGACCCUGCUGCUAACAACUUUGGCCUCCAAACGUGGAGCUAAACUCUACCGGUGGAAGCUGAAUUAGUGAUGAUGACUCCUGCUCCUGUCAUCUCUAAGCUCCUCACACAUCUUUACCUGCACAUGAGGAAAAUCACUCCUGUAGAAUGCAGAUGAAAGAAGCUCAGCCGUGGUGUUACAUGCGUCGGUACAAGCAGAAAAACAACCACGUAAGAAGAGAUUGUUGCACGUACAGAGGGAAUGCAUGCCUACACACACAGACAGAAAAUGACAUUUUCAUGCUAAAAAAAAAAGCACCUUCACAAUUUCAGACAGAGGACAAAAGCGAAGUGAGUGCCAGCCCAUUUUUAUGGUUUCUACACACUCACAAAUUGUGCGCAGUCCUUUAGAGAGCAGAAAAUAAUAGGUCUGCAGGUUGGACAGCCUUGAUGUCAAUAGACGGGGCCCUUUCAGGUGUCACAGUCACAUUCUCAAAGCAAGGUACCUGUGGAGGUACUGUGUGUCAAGGUCACCCUGUAUGUGCUGUAGAUGCUGCCUGUCUCAAACAAAUGGCAGCUGUGGAAAGCAGCCUCCGUGCCAUUUGCAUUUGUUUGCUGUCAUGAAUGUAUGCAUAUACUGUACACACUUUAGCGUGGUUGUUUGUCCAUUUGUGCAUGCCGAAUGCCUCACCUGGCCUGACCAUCAUCACUUUCCCACUCGCAUGCUUUGAUCUCGCCUGUACCAGCCCACAUCCGAACCCAUUCUUCUCACCAUAAAUCAAAUCCCAUGUUCCACCUCUGCAUGUGUCACGCCAUCCCCUGAGGGGAAAAUCUCACAAUCCUGACC